rnacentral:rRNA from 1 species
CCCUUAGAUGUCCUGGGCUGCACGCGCGCUACACUGAUGUGUCCAGUAAGCACCUAACCUCUUCCGAAAGGAACGGGUAACCUUUGCAAAGCACAUCGUGAUGGGGAUAGAUUAUUGCAAUUAUUAGUCUUGAACGAGGAAUUCCUAGUAAGCACAAGUCAUCAGCUUGUGUUGAUUACGUCCCUGCCCUUUGUACACACCGCCCGUCGCUCCUACCGAUUGAAUGUUCCGGUGAGCUCUUUGGACUGCGCGGUCUGCAGUUUCUGCGUUCCGUGCGGAAAGUUGCGCAAACCUUAACAUUUAGAGGAAGGAGAAGUCGUAACA